rnacentral:rRNA from 1 species
GAUGAACGCUGGCGGCGUGCCUAAUACAUGCAAGUCGAGCGAACGGACGAGAAGCUUGCUUCUCUGCUGUUAGCGGCGGACGGGUGAGUAACACGUGGAUAACCUACCUAUAAGACUGGGAUAACUUCGGGAAACCGGAGCUAAUACCGGAUAAUAUUUUGAACCGCAUGGUUCAAAAGUAAAAGACGGUCUUGCUGUCACUUAUAGAUGGAUCCGCGCUGCAUUAGCUAGUUGGUAAGGUAACGGCUUACCAAGGCAACGAUGCAUAGCCGACCUGAGAGGGUGAUCGGCCACACUGGAACUGAGACACGGUCCAGACUCCUACGGGAGGCAGCAGUAGGGAAUCUUCCGCAAUGGGCGAAAGCCUGACGGAGCAACGCCGCGUGAGUGAUGAAGGUCUUCGGAUCGUAAAACUCUGUUAUUAGGGAAGAACAUAUGUGUAAGUAACUGUGCACAUCUUGACGGUACCUAAUCAGAAAGCCACGGCUAACUACGUGCCAGCAGCCCGCGGUAUACGUAGGUGGCAAGCGUUAUCCGGAAUUAUUGGGCGUAAAGCGCGCGUAGGCGGUUUUUUAGUCUGAUGUGAAAGCCCACGGCUCAAUCGUGGGGGGUCAUUGGAAACUGGAAAACUUGAGUGCAGAAGAGGAAAGUGGAAUUCCAUGUGUAGCGGUGAAAUGCGCAGAGAUAUGGAGGAACACCAGUGGCGAAGGCGACUUUCUGGUCUGUAACUGACGCUGAUGUGCGAAAGCGUGGGGAUCAAACAGGAUUAGAUACCCUGGUAGUCCACGCCGUAAACGAUGAGUGCUAAGUGUUAGGGGGUUUCCGCCCCUUAGUGCUGCAGCUAACGCAUUAAGCACUCCGCCUGGGGAGUACGACCGCAAGGUUGAAACUCAAAGGAAUUGACGGGGACCCGCACAAGCGGUGGAGCAUGUGGUUUAAUUCGAAGCAACGCGAAGAACCUUACCAAAUCUUGACAUCCUUUGACAACUCUAGAGAUAGAGCCUUCCCCUUCGGGGGACAAAGUGACAGGUGGUGCAUGGUUGUCGUCAGCUCGUGUCGUGAGAUGUUGGGUUAAGUCCCGCAACGAGCGCAACCCUUAAGCUUAGUUGCCAUCAUUAAGUUGGGCACUCUAAGUUGACUGCCGGUGACAAACCGGAGGAAGGUGGGGAUGACGUCAAAUCAUCAUGCCCCUUAUGAUUUGGGCUACACACGUGCUACAAUGGACAAUACAAAGGGCAGCGAAACCGCGAGGUCAAGCAAAUCCCAUAAAGUUGUUCUCAGUUCGGAUUGUAGUCUGCAACUCGACUACAUGAAGCUGGAAUCGCUAGUAAUCGUAGACCAGCAUGCUACGGUGAAUACGUUCCCGGGUCU